rnacentral:rRNA from 1 species
CGCUACAAGCCCAGGGUAAGGGUAAAUUUUCUUCGACAUAUGCAACAAUAGUCUGACCGACAAUGCCGCGUGAGAGAAGAAGUUUUCAGAUCGAUAAAUCUCUGUGUAGAGAAGCACSAAGGUACGUUAGUAACUGAAUCGUCCUCUCGACGGUAUCUAACCAGAAAAGCGACGGUAACUACGUUACCAGCAGCGGCGGUAUACGUAGGUGGCAAGCGUUGUCCGGAUUUUAUUGGGCGUAAAGCGAGCGCAGGCGGUUUCUUAAGUUUGAUGUGAAAGCCCCCCGCUUCACCCGGGGAGGGUCAUUGGAAACUGGGAGACUUGAGUGCAGAAGAGGAGAGUGGAAUUCCAUGUGUAGCGGUGAAAUGCGAAGAUAUAUGGAGGAACACCAGUGGCGAAGGCGGCUCUUUGGUCUGUAACUGACGUUGAGGCUCGAAAGCGUGGGGAGCAAACAGGAUUAGAUACCCUGGUAGUCCACGCCGUAAACGAUGAGUGCUAAGUGUGGGAGGGUUUCCCCCCUUCAGUGCUGCAGCAAACGCAUUAAGCACUCCGCCUGGGGAGUACGACCGCAAGGUUGAAACUCAAAGGAAUUGACGGGGGCCCGCACAAGCGGUGGAGCAUGUGGUUUAAUUCGAAGCAACGCGAAGAACCUUACCAGGUCUUGACAUCCUUUGACCACUCUAGAGAUAGAGCUUUCCCUUCGGGGACAAAGUGACAGGUGGUGCAUGGUUGUCGUCAGCUCGUGUCGUGAGAUGUUGGGUUAAGUCCCGCAACGAGCGCAACCCUUAUUGUUAGUUGCCAUCAUUUAGUUGGGCACUCUAGCGAGACUGCCGGUGACAAACCGGAGGAAGGUGGGGAUGACGUCAAAUCAUCAUGCCCCUUAUGACCUGGGCUACACACGUGCUACAAUGGGAAGUACAACGAGUCGCUAGACCGCGAGGUCAUGCAAAUCUCUUAAAGCUUCUCUCAGUUCGGAUUGCAGUCUGCAACUCGCCUGCAUGAAGCCGGAAUCGCUAGUAAUCGCGGAUCAGCACGCCGCGGUGAAUACGUUCCCGGGCCUUGUACACACCGCCCGUCACACCACGAGAGUUUGUAACACCCGAAGUCGGUGAGGUAACCUUUUGGGAGCCAGCCCSSCCUA